CCCUUGCAGUUCUGCUUUGUGUGAUUUCACCCUCCUUCUUUCUGGACAGUGCACCUGUUCUAUAUGACUUUCAACAUCAGGCAGGGCACAGCUGUCCUUCCUAUGUGUGCACUUGCUUGACUCGCUUCAAGAAGUUCAAAUACUCAGAUGUUUAAAGUUGUGCCGCAGUGCACGUUUGUAGCAUAAGAAGCUUCUCUACAAAUCAACACAUUAUCGUGUGAAUAUGAAAAAAUAUUUUGUUGACCCCAAAUCAAUUUUCAACUUUUAUUUUCUUUCAGAAAAAAACCUUGCCUGUCAACUCUAGCACACACCCCUCACGGCCUUGAGCUCACCCUGCUUCACAGGCUGGUGCCUUGCUGUGGACCAGAUAAGCUCAGGUCCUCAGUCAUUUUAGCGAUGACGAUGCUAGCUGCUGCUUCAGAGACUCCCCCAGAGUCCAGAGAGACUCCGAACCCUUAGUGGUACUUGUCCCUUUAACAAUGGGACCCCAGGGGCUCUGCCUUAUCUCGGCUCUGCCUCCUUAGCUUGCUUUUCUCUCUGGCCUGUGUCUGGGUGAAGACCUCCAGCGAUGGCCUGGUCCUGGCCUCUCCCUGCUUGCUUAGACGCCAAAACCUAGAAGGUUCCUUUUUUUCUGAGUGUUAGCUGCCACUGAUAACCCACCCUCCCCGUGGCAUUUUGUUACAGACUAGGGCAACAGUUCUUUAUUUUUGUUUCUGCUUCCACUGAUGGGCCCACCUUACCAUAACACUCACUCAACACCUCCGUAAGCCCAGUCAAGUGCCCUCCUGUUUAGAGGAACAAACCCCUCGUGCUUUGUGGUUUCCAAUGAAGUCGACUCUCCUCAAGGCAACACAGUGUGGAAUGGGUGAUGUAGUCUCUCAUCUGGAUUCUCCUCAGAGCACUGCCCUGGCAGCCCACACUUCUUUUUAAAUCAGAGGCCCACAGUGCCUGCUGCAAUGACUACCCUUCAGACUUUGGCUCAAUUGAAAGGUCAGCUGCGCUGUCCUCAGGCCAAUGGAUACUGCAGAAGGAACUGAGUGGUUUGUAGAACUAUGGGGAUGCUGAAAAGACUUCAUUUUGCUGGAACAUUUGUUGACACAGAAGCGAAAAAAGCACAAAGCUCCUCAUUUGAGACUUAAAACCCUCAGUCUACCUGAAGGAGACAGUUAAUACACAAGUUGUGUAGCGAGCUAGAUGGCUUUGGAUACUCUGGAGAACCAUAAGGCAGAGUACAGGGACCAGGGGAGUGCUUAGGAGUAGAAUUCAAAUAGGGUGAUUAAGGCAGACCUCAUCUAAGCCCUGGAUAAAGAGGAGUGGCGUGGCAUAUGGAUCUCUGAGAGAAGAUGUCCUAGAGAGAGGCCCCUGCUAGUAUGGGGGCAGCGGGAGUAGUGGAAGUGUGCCAGGUUUGAGAAGCUAUGGCGACAGUGGUUAGGACAUAAGGAGUAUUGAGGGUAGGCUGGUGGGGAGGGGCUUGGCAGUGCAAUGUGGAGCCCUUGGACGACUUGUGCCCAGGAAAGCCAUGCCCAUAACUGUGGUGCAUACAUUUCCUUCCAGGUUUUGUCUGUACUUCUUAAUACACUAGUUUGUGUGUGUGUGUGGGGGGACCUAGGUUCACAACAAUAAUAAUAAAACUCACUUUCUGGGAUUCUGCCCUUAUCUUGUAAAAGUUAUACAUCUUAUCUAUUCUAAAAGCUAUCUCAGUGAGUUCAGAAAGACUCACUAGCACGUGUGCAUGUGUGUAUGUGUGUGUGGGAGCGUGUGUGCGUGUAUACAUAUGUUCAUGUGGAGGCAUGUGUGCACGUGUAUAUGUGGAGGCCAGAAGUGCCCAUCGUCCUGGCUUCCCAGGGUCUCUCACUGGUCUGGCUUGCAGUUUUGACUGGGGUGGCUAGCUUGUGAACCUCAGGGACCCGCCUGUCUCUGUCUCUCACUGCUGGGAUUGCCCUGCUUUAUUUUCACAGAGGUCCUGGUGAUUGACCUCAGAUCCUCAUGAACCAUUUAUUGACAGAGUCUCCUCCCAGGCAGAGUCAGGAAGGCUAUUUAUGGCACCUUCAAGAGUUCAUUCGUCUCGUCCCUCAUUUAUCCUACUCAUGAAAUCUUUCCCUUCCUUCCAAUCAGGCUGAAGCAAAGAUAUUUCCUCUGGAUUUUGACAUUCCCAAAUUAUUUGUUUCUCCUCUAAAUCCUCUUUCUGGGAAAUGCUGCCCUUUUCAUAUCUGUCAACAAUUCUCAUUGUAAACAACACGUAUCCUUGCUGACUUAAGCAGAAAAGCAAUUUAUGAAAGGAUUGUAGCUUGUAUAAAGAAAGACACACAGAAGCUGGGAUAGGCCUCGGGCAACACAAUCAGAGACAGAGCCCAGCCUUUUGGCUUGCAGGCUUUCCUUCCCUGCUGCCCAUGCGCAGUGUGGCUAACAGUGCGGUUGCUGCCCUGGUCUGCAGAAGGAAGAAGUCUUUGCUGCCUCUGAUUGGCCGUCAUCAGCUGGCAUGGGUUAGCACUAUGCCUCGUGCUCCUGGCCGCAGGGAAGACUGGCACACUCCAGUUCUGAUUCCUAUAGGGCAAACAACUGUACUCUCGAGUAUUUUAAACUGGGGCAGGGUAUUCAAACUGUCCUGGGCACCAGAAAUUAGGAAAAAUAGCCACUUGCUCCCUGUUCAGGCUGCUGGGUUUAUUUUGUCUUCAGCAUUGGCUUUGCGGUGGCGAUAAUGACUUUCACCUCUCAUUGAUACCUCAGGCUCCCGUCAUCUAACACAGAUUUAUUAUUAUUAUAAUUAAAAAUUACUUGAUGGUAGAAAAAGAGUCUAUGAAGAAGCCUGACUUUUAAAGAGUAUUUUUACAUUUGUGAAAGAGGUACGUUUAUAUACUUUUAAAAAAAGUCCAGCAGUGCUGGAAGACUGACUUAAAAAUGCCCAGUCUGCCCUUGCUUCAUUGGCCUCCUCCAUCUCCCCAGAAACACUCUAUUUCUGAUUGUUUUCUCUUUGUAUUUACUUCGGGUUUCUAAGAAAUAUGGCCACCACGCUCUCUCUGCAUUGAUCAUUUUUACACAGGACUUAUUACAAGGAGAUGAGAAUUCUAAAUCUCUUGCACCCUCUUGAUAUAAUUCUAGCAGUAUAUAACUGUAUAAAAACUCAGUUUGCUGUUUUUGGCACACACUUUAGUGUUUUUCAUUCCUGGACCGAGAGUGUAUUGCUUUAUUUUCUUUUGGAACAAGCUGUUUUCCCUAAAAUUCAUAUUUUCCCCAUUUGUUUUCACUUCUUUUGGCUUCUAGAAACUCUGGAUAACUCCACAUCUGGCCACAGUUCUUCAGCUCUUCAGGGGGUGGAGAGGAAUAAGCAAGGACAUGGUUGGCCAUUCUUCACCCACGGGUUUAGCUUCAGUCUAUGGCGGUGGUCAGGCCACCGGAGCCUCCUGAAUCCACUUCUUCACCUGUUCCCUUCAGAAAAAAAGCAGGCCAUUCAGGAUUCACUGAAACAAGGCAUAAACCCUCAUAUCAAGGUCAGAGGAGGCAAGGAUUCUACAAGGGUUACCCUAGUGAGGAUUCCUAGUAAUGAAGAUCCAGAGCCUGAACCAGCCAUCCUCUGUAACUAGAAACCUCGGUGAUCUCUCAGACUCCUCCAUGGACCCAGUUCGAGCCUGUGGGAUGGACAUGGGGAAGGGGCACAAAGUGUUCAUCUAUCUGCAGCAUCUUCUUGCAAAUCUUUCCCAAGAGACCAAGUACCUCUGUUAAUGCAUCAGAAGGAUAAGUGAUAAUAGAGUCAUAGAUGCAUUUCAAAGCCCAACUUAUUAGCUAACCAGAGGCAGCUCCUGAAAGUGUCUAUUCUCAGGUUUCACAGGGUUUGCCACAAUAUUGUCACUAAUUAAACAGGUCCAGGUUGUAAAGCAUAACCGGUCCCUCUCAUACUGUGACUCUCACAGUGUGAUCUGAGCGAGCAUUCCUGGCUCGCUUUUCUAGCCCCCUUCGCUCCAUGUGUUUUCACUCCUUUCAUUCCCAGAGUUUUCUUGGAAGUUUGGAUUCAGUCAUGGUUGCAGAAGCUACUGCUCCCUGGAGACAACUGUUGGGUGUCUCACCCUUAAUAGAUCAUGUUACCUUUGACUUCCGUGGGUGAUCUCUCACCUUGAGAACACACAGACAUACUGAUCUUGAAUAGCCCAGGGACCUUGUUGAAUUGGAUCAGGCAUAUCAACUAAGAACUACCAUUGCCUCCCAACCAUUUUUUUUUUAACAUGGGAGAAGGAACUAUUUUUAUUUUAUUUAACGAGUUAACAAGAUUCCCAAAGUGGUCACUCCAACAAUGUUCCCUGUCUACCAGGAACAAAAGCGUAGGGCCCAGGCCCAGGAGCGCAGCACAAUAGAGCUUGGAUAUCUACUAGGUUCUAAAAUAAACCUUUACAAUGAUUGCUUUAAACUCUCUCAUUUUGCUGAUUAGAAACAGAAGUAGAAGAUUUACCUGCUGGAGGUCACAGAGCAAGUGGCCGAGGCACAGCUGGAUCUCAGCUCUUUUGACUUGAGUUUCUUUGUUCUAAUGAUAGAUCAUGCAUGGAUUGUUUCUUGAAAGCCUAGAUUGAAGGCUGUCUAGUGGUUAACACACAAAAAAAAUACCAGACACGUGUAGGUUGGAUGGAGAGAGGAUGAAGGUGGCUUCUCUUCUUUAUUAUUAACAGAACUCCAGCUAUGUGAUCAUGAUGGAGCUAGCCAUUAACAUGCCAAAGAUUUCUUUGCAGAUAAUCUGACCUUUGCGAUGUGAGUCUGUCUAGGGCGAUGAAAGCAGAUGUUGCUAUGCAGAGCUACUGAGAAGAUUUCUGACUUAGUUUCUUUUCCUGUCAUCCUGCUAAAACAUGGUGGCAAAAACAACCUAAAGAAGUAAGGGUUCAUUUGGCUCACACUUCUAGCUGCAGUCCAUCAUGGGAGAGAAAACAUAGCAGCAGGAACGUGAGAGAUUUGAUCGCACUGCAUCUACAGUCCAGGGCAGAGAGAAAUGGAAUAGUGCGUUUCAGGGCUUGGCUAGCAUUAUCCUUUUUAUUCAGUCCAGGAUCCUAAGCCCAGGGAGCAGUGCCCCCACAUUAUUAAUUAGGAUAAUCUCUCACAGAUGGUCUCAGAGGCCCAUCUCACAGGGUUGUAGGGUGUGUCCGUUGACAACUACACACCAACCAUAACAGUUACCUUACAGCCGAGACCCAGCGAACGUGGUGUUUUCUCAUGCACUCCUUUUGCUAGAAUUCGGAUGCCAUGUGACCCAGGGAGCUGACCAAAUUCCAACUUACAUGUGUGACCUGAUGAAUUGUCAUGAACCUUCUCUUUUAUGACUAGAUUAAAUUGUUAGGAUUUGGGCUUUCUCUUACCUGUAGCCGUAUUCCU